rnacentral:misc_RNA from 1 species
GAAAUAGUAGAGGAAUAAGCAGUACUUUGAUGGGUAUCACCUUAGGACAAAAUUUACACCAAGAGAGCACCCAAAUAUUGCUUCUAGCUAUGGCCAAAAUACCACCCUUUAGUAGCCAUGAAUGAUUUGCUGUUUAAUGGUAUUUAUUUGUCCUUUUAACCCCUAGGGUAUUAGAAGUUUGGUUUCCAAUGUAAUUACUAACUUCUAGCCUAGGUAGUCCUAAUUAUGUGGGUAAUUUAAUUCCUCCACUAAAAUGAAUUAUAUGGCCAUAAAUAUGGGUCAUACACAUGUGAUGGGC